CACUUUGCCUCUGGCCCAGUUGGCAGCUGAAGGAGAGAACUCGGAGCCUAGCACUCUAUUGACGCGCACCUUACCCAAGUGUUCUAUGGGUGGUCACCUCGUAUCUCCAGAAGGACCUUCUGUGAUCCUGCAGACCCUGUGCUCCUUUCUGGGGAUCCUGACCUCCAUCUGCAGGCCUGGCCAUCAGAGGAAGGCCGCACUGUCUUCUUACACCUUCGAGAUGUCCUGCAGCUCAACAUCUGCCAUGGGCAAAGUCACUCUCUGUGAGGUCCAGGAGCAGGGAGUCACUCCGAUGCCACCCACAACACCCAGGUGUGCCCAAGACUCCUGCAGAGAGAAAAUCAUGUUAGGGGCGCUGAGAGAGAGCAGGAAAGAGAUGGCCAAGCAGGAGGAAGACCCCACAGUCAUAGAGAGGCAGGAUGAUCACGGAAGGGGCCCUGACGACACUGGGGAUGCAGUCUGCUUUCAGGCCCCUAGGGGUCCAUGGAGACCUCUGUUCCUUUGUCCCCAGGCCCAGGCCUCUGCAGAGAAACCUCCAUGCUACGAGCUCAGAAGACAGAUCCAUCCGGAAAUCCCAGACUUCGUGUAUGAGCUCCUGCCCCAAAUGAAAUGCCAUCAGUAGCUCAUACAGCUCCACCCGAGGGUUCCCGCCGGUGCAGAAGAGGAGGGGCCCAGUCACAUCCCACACCCGGCUUCCCCAGAGGGCCUCCAAGGAAGUGAUCCAGGAGGGCUCUGGUCUCCCUCUGCAGCCUCGGGGCUUUCCCACAGGAAGACUCAGCAUAGAAAGGAUGCGGAGGCCAUGACAGGGCAGACACAAACCUGGGGGAACUGCUCAUCCACAUCUGACACCCGAAAAUGCAAGAUUCCUCUGGUGCCACGCAGGCGAGGGGACCCUCUGAGGCUGCCACCACCACCUAAGAUGAGUUUUCCACUCGCCGCUGAAGACCUAGACUCAGAGAAGGAAGCAGCGCUCCGGCGCAUCAACAGCGCAUUGUGGGGUGAGCAUGAGGCCAUCUGGGACCGCGGCGCCCUGUCCUGUGCCGUCCCCCUGCCUGCUGCAGGGGCUGCUCCUCCACUAGCCGUCCUCCAGCCCCCAGCAUGACCCACAGCUGGAGAAACGCUGGAAGAUCCAGGACUCCCCGGGCCCUGUGGCCGUCCUGGGAUCCGGAGUGGCUGCUUCUGUGCAUCCUUGAAUUGGAGGAGGCACAGUUCACCAGGCUCCUCUUGUCCCCCAGAGACCCUUCCAGGUGCCUCUUCACACUCACUGCCUCAGCCCCCUGCACCUUGCUGACCCCUGCUGCCUCCCCAGGAUCAGGCAGGGCUGACCUGUCUGCUAGGCCCCCGAACACCUCCCUCUCUGCUCCCAUCCCUGCACGAGGCGUGGAGUCUGCCGAUCAGAAGCCCGACUUCUCCGGGGCCUGCCCCUGCGGCUGCUGCAGCGUCCCCUCCCCUUCAUGCUGAAGUCUACCGGGGGCCCUCUGAAUCGGGGGAGGAGGCCAUGUGCAAGCCAAGGCCUCAGUCACAGCUGCAGCAGAUGCCAGUUCUGCCUCCCCUGCAGCUCCCAGCACCUCCAGAAUGGAGUCCCCCGCACCCAGGUGCAUACACUCUCCUGUUUCCCCCUCACAGAGCCCCCUCCCAUCACUGAUCCCAGUGCCCCUCCCUCCACCGACCUGCCAAUCACUCCUGCUCUCUGUUCCAGCCCCUCCACCAGCACAUCUGCAGGCCUGGCUCCCCAGCCAGCUUCUGACACUGAGCUCAUCCCCAUGGACACCAAGCCAGCUCCCCAGCUUCUCCUCUUGGGGUCUCGCCCUGGCUCCAGUGGGAACUUCUUCCCAUCUGCCCAGGUGCUUCAGACGCCCCCCGGUGACAGCACGGCCUCAGCCACAGUCACCACUAGCCUACCUGCACUCAGGUUCUGUGGCCUCACCCCAACUCUGAAACUUCCUGUUAACCCUGGAGCCACUGCCCAGCCCAUAUUUGGGGCCCCUGAGGGGCAGCAGCACAGAGUCACCACAUUUCACUGCUCUCUCCAGCAUGGAAAACUGGCAGCUCCAGCCCCAGCCCAGGCCCCAGCCUCUGCUCCAGCCCCUUCAAGUCAGGGGUUUUGGCAGCACCCAAGGGCUUUGGGAGCAGAGGAGCUGUCUCCGAUCUAAUCUGUUCUUUUGGGGGCAAUCAGCGUUACAGCACAGACAAGUGGGGCCCCAAGCAUCACUGAAUGCCUGGAGUUCCCCUCUCCGGAGCACCCCCAUGGUGACCACACGACCCAGCACUAAGGAGAACCCUGGGUUUGGAGGCGCUGCUGACCCUGCCUUAAGUCAUGUCCCCAGGGGCCAGCCCAGGCAGAGCCCCCUCACUUCCAGCCGAGGGCCCAGGAUCACUGCUGAGAAGGCUGCCUUCAGAGGAGCGAAUACCAUCCUGACUUCUGCUUCCAGCAGCCCUGCCUCUGUGGUGGACUUGGCGAGGAGCUGGCGUGCCAUCUUGGCCCCCUCAUCACCUGUCCAGGGCUUGGUUGGACAGAAAACCAUUGGGCCAUCAACCAAGUCAUUUUCCUCUAGAUCAGGAUCCACUCCCUUGGAGUCUAAGAGGGGAAAAUGGCCUGAGUGAACUGCUUUCAUGAGAAUUAGCCCGUGUCCACCUCUUCCCAGAGUGGACCACGAGUGUGGCCUCAUUUAGAUCUGAAACUCAAGGGGAGCCCUGACUUCUGUGACCCUGGAGCAAACUGGGUGCCAGAGACGCAGCAUUCUAGUCCCACCCUCUGCCCUGCAGUCCUCCCCAAAGUUGGUGGUUUGAGGCUGUCGUCCAUCCCGCUGGCCAGAGUCCUCAGGACAGCAGACAGAGGUGUGUGGCCAGCUUCCCUCCAGUCCUGGAGCACGGGCGAUGCCCUCUGCUGCCUAACGUUGACCAUUCCCCUCUCCCCGUCUUCCUCCCAGAAGCCUUGUGUCUUAUAAUAAAGUCUUGUUCUUGCUCCUCUGCGUAAUUCUCCUGCGUCUGUGCUCUGGAGAUGAAGUGUGGAAAAACACUGGCUUGUGUGUGUGGUGACACGGGAGGCCAGACCUAACUCUUUAAAGGUUCCUGCAGCCCAGCUAAUGGGGUGUGGAGAGGAGCACAAUUUGAUGGCUACAAGGACUGACAAAUAUUAAAGGGAUGAAAGAGAACUAUUGGCAGAGGAAACAAGCUAAAAUUAGUCCAUUUUAAUUGUAAAAGAUGAAAAGACUUGCGGUCUGUGAUCCAAUACACAUGGAGCUUAGAGAUCAGCACUCCAGUCAUCACAACAAAAGGAAAACUCAACGAAGUGAAAAUCAACAAUUCUUAAGUCUGUCAGAGAAUUGAGGUCACAGAGCAAACUAUCAGCACGAAAAUUGGAGACAGGUGAAUACAGAGCGUUGCGGCUUAAUGGAACCGGGGCCUCUGCUGGAGCCAGGGUCUGAGUAGCAAAGCAAACUGUCACUGAUGAAUUUCUGGAGGCUCAGUGUGGACGAGCUUGAGAGUUAAACACCCAGGGGAGCCCCGUCUUAUGGGGCCUCCACACUUGCCUGAGUUUUACAUCCAGGAGCCCGGUCACAUUCUCAGGGUGAGGAUCAAAGAGGACUUGUUCACGCUUCUGGCAGGGAGAGCAGCAAAGCAGCCAUUUGAGACACACCCAGCACGGUCUGUUGUCCCUAAGAAAGCCUUCAGUAGAGGGAAACUUUCACCAGAGCAGCCGCCUUGGCUUCUAUCAGAGCGUAACCGGCCUGGGUAAAGGGAAUACCCAUACCUAGUGACCUCUAGCUCUCCAUGUCGGGAAGGGAACUGCCCAAGUGCAGCUCCCUCUGGCAUUCUCUCACCUGACAGGGAAAAAAUCUGAGAAGCACUUGUAAAGGUCAAAUCCCAAGGACACACAUCAUCUACAGACAGAUCUAACCGUAGAACCAGAGAGCACCUCUCCUUCCCCCACGGCCUCCCACCACGUCAACAGGCCUCCCGGACCAAAACACCAUCUCAAUUGGAGAAACCGC
ensembl:lncRNA